GCCUCAGGCAUCAUCUGGCAGUGGGACCAGGAGCUGCGCUCCCACGGGGUCGCAGCUCCGAAGGGAGGCGCUUUGGCAGCCAGAUGGUGCUGCUGAAAGGACAGUGGCAGCAAUUUGGGGGUGACGGCCCCCUGGCGUUGCCUUGGAUCCUGAUUUGCUGUAACAAAGCAAAUAUUCUGUGUUACACACACGGCCUUUUCAGAGGACACAGAGGACGUCGCGGAGGCUGGAAGAGGGUGAAGAUGCUGUAGAAAUUAUCUCAUUAGUUUUCUUCGUCAAGGCAAAAAUCGUUUUGUACAUAAAUUCUAUGAUAAAUGAAAUUAGCUUUGAAUUUGAGGGUCAUUGGAUGAAUAAAAAUACGCUCUAGUGUGUAUUCGAAACGGAUGCUUUCCCAGCACAAAGGGAAUCCUUUGCCAAGUGUGUUUUGCACAGCCCACAUCCCUCCUCUUCCUUUUUGGGAAAAGAAAAAAAAAAAAAGGAAAGAAGAACUGUUGGGGAAAAAAGGAAAGCAGAACUUGGCAAGGCCUAGUCGCAUCAGAGAAAUAAUCCUGCAAGGUCCAGGUCGAUAACAGACGAGGUGAGCCCGGGGUUUCAGGGAGUCCCCUUCUUAGUACAAAGCACAAAGCAAUUUAAAAAAUCAUAUAAAGAUAACUUUACGUUGAAAACAACCCUCUUUAUUGCUCCCCCUGCUGACUGUACAAUAAAUACAAUCUAGUGAGAAAAAAAAAGAGAGAAGUGGGAAAGACGGGAAGAUGAAAAUUUCCGUAACCACCGUCCUGCCCACCCCCAGCCGAAGAGCCACAGUCAGGGCCUGCGGAACCGUCCCCGUUGGUUUUUUGGCGCCUGAACUGAAACCGAGAUGGCGUGUGAAUGAAUUCCCAUGAGACGUGAUGUCCCGUCGUACAGGGGACUCUGUUACCUUUCUUACUUCCUGUCGGGGACGUCUUUCCCCACCGGUGACCACAGAUCGUUACUCUGGCAGCCACGUCGCACGGCUCCACCAGGACUUAGGACCCAAGCCCGUGGGGACCCGUCCUCGGGCCUCCCCCAGCUCUGCUGACCUGUCCGUGUACAUAAACCUGUUCCUUGCUGGACCCCCAGGUAUCACCCGGCUUUGAAUGGGUACGUUCUCUCCUCGCCUGCUUUCGUUGCUGCUGCAGACGGGUUCUUUUCUACACCAUGAAAAUUCCUCCGCAGUGAAACCUGUUUCUCAGGUCCCACCGGACGUCCGCCAGUGGUACCUCCACUUUCCUCAGGUGGGACGUCCCUGUCGUCUGCUCCGGGUGUGAAACGACCUCCCCUCCCGCUGUCCCCUCUUUGUCGUCUGUCAUUGUCCUGCCGAUGACCAGUUUCUGGGGGGCGUCCAGGCACACGCCCCAUGGAUGGAACCCUUGGAGCCGGUGACUCCCAAUUUGUCUACGAAUCCCAGAGCGGCACGUCGUGCCAACGGAUCCGAUGUGCUUGAACUCAGGCGCCCAGACAGAAACCCGAAAGGAAGGGACCUUGAGAUGCGGUGGUGUUUACACCGCCCAAGGGAUCAUCUUCCGCAGCCCG
rnacentral:lncRNA from 1 species